UCAGCUCUCUUUGCCUUUUGGCUUAGAUCAAGUGUAGUAUCUGUUCUUGUUCGAUUAAUCUCGAGCACGCCCCUACGGGGGCAGAUCACUCUUGAUUGUUUUUGGAACCCGCCUCUGGGGCGCUGAGCUCUGCUCAUCUUCAGAGGCACAGUGUCGCCUGUAUUGCACUGUCUCGGGCUGACGCGACCCUUU
rnacentral:snRNA from 1 species